rnacentral:rRNA from 1 species
GAUGAACGCUGGCGGCGUGCCUAAUACAUGCAAGUCGAGCGAACGGACGAGAAGCUUGCUCCUCUGAGGUUAGCGGCGGACGGGUGAGUAACACGUGGAUAACCUACCUAUAAGACUGGGAUAACUUCGGGAAACCGGAGCUAAUACCGGAUAAUAUGUUGAACCGCAUGGUUCAAUAGUGAAAGACGGUUUUGCUGUCACUUAUAGAUGGAUCCGCGCUGCAUUAGCUAGUUGGUAAGGUAACGGCUUACCAAGGCAACGAUGCGUAGCCGACCUGAGAGGGUGAUCGGCCACACUGGAACUGAGACACGGUCCAGACUCCUACGGGAGGCAGCAGUAGGGAAUAUUCCGCAAUGGGCGAAAGCCUGACGGAGCAACGCCGCGUGAGUGAUGAAGGUCUUCGGAUCGUAAAACUCUGUUAUUAGGGAAGAACAAAUGUGUAAGUAACUGUGCACGUCUUGACGGUACCUAAUCAGAAAGCCACGGCUAACUACGUG